GAGCCUGUAGGGCGCGCCUGGCGGCGGCAUGGCGUCUCCAGCCCAGGUUUUAAAAUACCUUCUAAUGUAAGGAAAUAGCCCUGCACCUUGUGCCCAUCCUAGAGAGAAAAUGGUUUCUUAAUAAAAAAUGUAUGAGGCCUUUUUUGCCCCAAUAUCUUCCCAAGCAGAGGAAUGUGAAGGGGGGUUGGGCCAAGAAGUGAGUGGUAGGAAGAGAGGCCUACGGAUUUAAAACAGGCCACUGCUUGGAGGGGUGUCUUUCCUAAACCACUGAAGAAAUUGAACCAGGCAAAGGAAGGGGGUUCACACCCACAAAUAAACUAUAACCUACAAAAGGAGCCCGGGUUCACAUCCACAAAUAAAUUGUAACCUACACAAGGAGUCUGGUUGAGGUCACAAAACAAAAGCCAGGAGGCAACCAAAAGUAGAAUAUGAAAUAGGUGCUGCCUUCUCACCUAGGAAUCCUUCCAGGGCUAAAACCUUCAAAUAUUCUGCUUUUAAGGUAGUCAGAUACCCUCACAACUCAUUUACAUCAGCCCUUCUCUGUUUUCAAGUGAGAAGCAUAGAUGGUUUAGAAUUAAGCUAUGAACUCUUGGAUCUUUUCUUCCAAGUUUAGUGUUAGUGGUAGAUAGGUCUAGUCCAACUAUCUCAAUACAUUGUUUUCUCCCUAGUUAAAACAGAUUUGCAAGAAUCAUUUGUAUGACACUUUAGGAAUACAGAUAAAUUGCUAGUGCAAAUAAUAUCCUUAUAUUUAUAAAAUAUAUGUGUACUUUUAAAAAAGUUAUAUGAAUCCAAUCCUCUGGCCUUUUAGUUAGUAUUGAGUGUGAUAGUUGUGGGAGAUCUGUAGUAAAUACGGUUUCUGAAGGGUGUGCUAUCAUCCCUAAUGAACUCACCUAUUAAUUGUGGUAAAGAGUUUUUCACUUGGGCUGGGCACGGUGGCUCACGCCUGUAAUCCCAGCACUUUGGGAGGCCGAGGCAGGUGGGUCGACUGAGGUCAGGAGUUCCAGACCAGCCUAGCCAACAUGGUGAAACCCCGUCUGUACUAAAAAAAAAAAAAAGAAAAAAAAUAGCUGGGCAUGGUGGCAGGUGCCUGUAAUCCCAGCUACUUGGGAGGCUGAGGCAGGAGAAUCCCUUGAACCUGGGGAGGCGGAGGUUGCAGUGAGCCAAGAUCGUGCCAUUGCACUCCAGCCUGGGCAACAAGAGCAAAACUCCGUCUCAAAAAAAAAAAAAAAAAGAAAAAGAAAAAGAAAUGAAAAAAAAAGUUUCCCAACAUGUAUUAGCCGUUUUCAUGUUGUCUGUAUUCACCUUUGCGUCAUCACCCCUCUUCAAUUUCCUCCUGGAAUUCAAUCACAGUAAUGGGUUAUCUCAGCAUAUAUUAUUCGCCAGUCUCACAUCCUGACCUCAUUUAUUUACCUAAAAAUAACCAGAACGAAAAAAAAAUCACAGAUUAAUUUACACUUGAUUUCACUUUAACUUCAAUUUAAAAUACUUAGAAUCCAGAAUUCCUAGUAAGUUGAACCUGGAAUACGCAGACCUGUGAUAAUAUCUUAAACACUCAAAUGUUUUCAACUUGCUGAAAUGGAGUUCACACUUUUAACAUUCUGGGCUUUUUUUUUAAAAGGGACUAUAAUACUUUAACUCAAAUUACAAUCAAAUGUGUUCAUUACCUAUAAGAAAAAAAUUUUACCUAUCUCAUAUCUUCAGUGAAAUGAUUAUAUCACAUCUGGCUAAGCUUUACCAUUUGGUAUUUGCCCUCUUUCAAGUGAUUUGCAGUAUAAUACUUUGAUUUCCCAAAAUUUCAACAUACAAAGUUAUUUUCCAAAUAUGCUCAAGCAACAUCUGAUCAUCACUAACAAGACUAAAGGCUAAUAUGCCCAAGGAGCCAAGUCCCGUUUUCUUGGGACUUCAUAGCAGGUAAAAAUUGCCUUUUCAAUUUAUACACCUGAAGAAAGUGAAGCAGCAUCAGUCACUGAGGGCUUAGUAGAGAUGUCCUCAGAGAGGUGCACAUACUGCGCUGAAGUUGAUGCAUACUAAGCAGGCGUGCUUAAUCACUGAGAGGUUACAUCAGGCACAUUUUGUUGGAAUAAAUGUUCCAACCCCUGAGUAAACUCAAAUUGAAAAGUAGGAAAGUUGGCCAGCGCGGUGGCUCACACCUGUAAUCCCAGCACUUUGGGAGGCCAAGGUGGGCGGAUCACGUGAGGUCAGGAGUUCGAGACCAGCCUGGCCAACAUGGUGAAACCCCAUCUCUACUAAAAAUACAAAAAUUAGCCGGGUGUGGCAGCAUGCACCUGUAAUCCCAGCUACUUGGGAGGCUGUGGCGGAGAAUUGCUUGAACCCAGGAGGCAGAGGUUGCAGUGAGCUGAGAUUGCACCACUGCACUCCAACCUGGGUGACAGAGUAAGACUCUGUCUCAAAAAAAAAAAAAAAAAAAAAAGUGUAGGAAAGCAAUAGUACAAACGAGGAGGGGAGUGGGUGAGUUAAACACAUUUUCCCCAAACUGCCAGGUUUACUUUGCAGAAUUUGUAUUCUCUUUCACAGAUAACAUAACCCUCAUUCCCAGCACACCACAACCAAGCUAGCUAGCUGGCUCAGCUCACGGUGUCCUUCGGCCACAUCGGGACUCAGCAUGGUAUAUGUUCUGGUCAUCACCCAGAGAAUUCUAGCUAUUCAUUUUGACUCUUCAGUUUCGCUAAGAUGACUGCAUGCCAGCAAUUUUAACUUAUUUAUUAAUUUGAAAAUAAUGUGUGGCUGGGCCGGGCACAGUGGCUCACGCCUGUAAUCCCAGCACUUUGGGAGGCCGAGGCAGGCGGAUCACGAGGUCAGGAGAUCAAGACCAGCCUGACUAACAUGGUGAAACCCUGUCCCUACUAAAAAUACAAAAAAUUAGCUGGGCGUGGUGGCAUGCACCUGUAGUCCCAGCUACUAGGGAGGCUUAGGCAGGAGAAUUGCUUGAACCCAGGAGGCAGAGGUCGCAGUGAGCCAAGAUCACACCACUGCACUUCAGCCUGGGCAACAGAACGAGACUCCGUCUCAAAAAGAAAAAAAGAAAAGAAAAAAGAAAAAGAAAAUAUGUGUGGCUGGAAGACACUGAAAUCUGGAAAACAGCUAUUUAGGUAUAAAUUUACUUUGACUUACUGAGAUCAAGAAAGAACUGACAUCGUCCUCAUCUAAGAUACCUUGUUCUCCUUGGGUAUUUUCCAAGUUAGUUCAGGGGCAGUUGCCGAGGAAUAACACUGAUGGGGGUUCACACUAUGGCGAUCUUGUUGAACUGCCUGAUGUUGGUUUGUGUAAUCUGCCCCCUUUGUGCCCAAGAACCUGUGACAAGAUUCUGCUUCUGACAACCUUCUGUGCAGGGGUAGCGACAGGAGUCUGAACAAUCAUUAAGUGUCCAGCCCUGGUUUCCUGCCACUAGUCAAUCUGCAGAGACUUUUAUUGAUUCUUGAAAAUACAACUGUGAUUGUAGGUUUGGGCCCUGGGAAUGUAAUUUAUAGCUAAAGAAUGGGCAAUGUCUUCUGUCCUGAGUGCCAUGGUUGGAUUGUGUAACAUCUGUGGCUACCAGGACAAGGAAGGAACAAAGGAAGACAAAAGUAUUUCAGUGCAGAGAUCUUCUCAGUGACCCUCCUUGCUUUUCAUCUGCCUGAUGAAUUUUAAAGACUACUUUUUAUCAUAUCUCCACACCGUAAACUACCCCCUCAGUGGCUCCCAGUUUCCUUUUACUACAUCUAGUCUACACUCCAUAGACCGACUGAGACUGCCAAUAUGCCUACCCAGUCGGAUUUCCUACUCUUCCUCCCCCCAUACAUUUGCUGCUCUGGUCUCCUGAAAGGUUACAUUCCCUCACCUCUGAUUGUUUCCCUUAGAAACCCUCUCAUCUCCUUUCCUCUGGGUCUAUCUAAAUCUCACUCAGAAUCCUAGAUAUAUUACCACAAGCCCCUAUCCUCCUAUGUUUCCCAUUCCUUUGCUCCUGUGCAACCAGGGCUCAGGCUCUGGAGUCAGACAGAUUUAGGUUCAUAAUCCCAGUUCUGCCACUUAUUAACUAUUACUCCAUAAAUGUGGAAACAUUUCUCAACUCU
rnacentral:lncRNA from 1 species